rnacentral:rRNA from 1 species
AUUGAACGCUGGCGGAAUGCUUUACACAUGCAAGUCGAACGGAAGAAAGGGGGCAACCCUGGUGGCGAGAGGAGAACGGGUGAGUAAUACAUCGGAACGUGCCCAGUCGUGGGGGAGAAAGUAGCGAAAGUUACGCUAAUACCGCAUACGAUCUACGGAUGAAAGCGGGGGACCGUAAGGCCUCGCGCGAUUGGAGCGGCCGAUGUCAGAUUAGGUAGUUGGUGAGGUAAAGGCUCACCAAGCCGACGAUCUGUAGCUGGUCUAAGAGGACGACCAGCCACACUGGGACUGGGACACGGCCCAGACUCCUACGGGAGGCAGCAGUGGGGAAUUUUGGACAAUGGGCGCAAGCCUGAUCCAGCCAUUCCGCGUGCAGGACGAAGGCCUUCGGGUUGUAAACUGCUUUUGUACGGAACGAAAAGGCUCUGGUUAAUACCUGGGGCUCAUGACGGUACCGUAAGAAUAAGCACCGGCUAACUACGUGCCAGCAGCCGCCGUAA